GAUAGGUAGAGGAAGACGAUAUCCGCCAUGUUAGUUCUGCUCGCCUCAGAUGGGGUGUGAGCAGAAAAGUUUGCAGUUUGUAAACAGUUUGGUUGUAUUUCGAAGUAACAUCAGGAGAGAAGAUAUUUUCAUCUUGAAUAUUCGCUGUGGGAUUGUUUGUGAGGAUAUUUGAGGUGAAAGUCGCUGUGACACGCAGCAGUUUUCUGGAUUUAAUCAACGAACUUUCUCCAUUGUGCUAACCUGAGUUUCAGAGCAUUCUGCACAAGCACCCCCGCCUUCACAGCUUGUUCAGGAAGCUGCACACACAGGGAGAGUGUCUGAAGUUCUGGGUUGGCUCUUCAGGAUUCAUGACCUCCAGGAACAAGAUGAUGUCCAUGUCAGACGAGCUGCUGUCCUGUUCUCUCCCUGUCAACCUGCAUGAGGAUGACCGCAGCUCUCUGAAGACCUGGAUCCUCAUGAUCCAGACACUGAUGACACUCAGACCCCACAGUCAGCUCCAGUUCACAUGAUGUCCCUCUGCUGAGACAGGACUGUGCUUCAAGGUAAUGUAGUUAUUAAAGUCACCACAUUGGCUGAUAUAUAUGUAUAUGUAUGUAUGUAUGUAUGUGUGUAUAUAUAUAUAUAUAUAUAUAUAUAUACAUAUACAUAUUUUUUUUUUUUUUUUUGCACUGAUUUAUGGUCUGUAUCUAAGUAACUCUAAAGAUCUGGUUAACACCAGAGUUUACUGUAGACUUAUUGUUCAGUAAAUGUAUUUAAUUAAAGUAGUCAGCAUGACUGAAAUUCUUGAGCGAUGUUUGAUGUGCAGGAGUUGUGCUAAAUGCUAAUAUGCUAAGUUGAGCACAGUCACGGCCAAACACUCAGUGACUCUAUUGACAAAAUGUUGGAGGCAAAAUCAAACACUUACAUUAUAUAAGUUUGUAUUGAAGGAGGUUAACUCAGGUAUUUUUAAAAUCCUCGUCUUUAUUGUCCCAUGUGUUUGUGUGUAAAUGACAGGACAAAAGUCAACUGUAAACAGCUGCUAAUGUCAUCAAAGUACGUCCACUAAAGUUCUUGUUGCCACUGACGGGUUCAGAUUGUUAUUCUAAGUGUCUGACAGCAUUAUAGACAGAUCCUUUUUCUUUAACCAGAAACAUUUUUACUAGACAGGACACAGGAGCUGCUGGAAUAUCACAGACUCCAGUGUCUCUUUUGUACAUAUAAACCUAACAUGAUGCAGCGUUUGGUUUUGCCUCUGCUGUUUCAACAGUGAGAGACUCACUGAGUGUGCAGUCAUGUGCGUUUGUCAUUCUGUGUGUGCUGACGUAGAUUCUUUAAUGUCUUUUCACGUAUUAGACCACAGAUGUUAAGUCAAUGAGCAAAACAUUUCAUGGUAAUACUGGAUUUGUUUGUUUUGUGGUCUCUGUGUUAUGGUGACUUAAUAAAGAAACGUUGCAUAUGG